UGAACACGCUUUCAGUGAUGAAGAUCGUGGCUGUUUCUUCUGUGGAUACGGAGCACGGAGACCAAUGUAACAGUCAGAAUUCCUGUUCCUGUGCACAGAAGGAAACCACGGCUGACCUGACCAGUCUGCAGAGGAAGAUGCUAGCGUUGGCUUCUGUUGAAUGGACACAGCCAGGUGAAGAAAGCCUUCUGCCGUGAUUGACAGCUCUGUUUAUUCAUGUUAGGAGCAUGGAGAAACAUCUGCAGAAUGGACCCAGCCGAGCUGAACAAAAUCACUCCACCCGGGCCUGAGCCCUGCGGCUGCCUCCCGGGUGUUAGCAGGUGGGAAGUACCCAAGCUAAUUUCAGGGGCCCUAAGUUUGCCUCUGUGUUUAGGAGGAUGGAGACCUACGACGGAUGCCUUCAAGCUGAGAUAAACCCUGUUCCACGGCCACGAGCCCUGUGGUCACCACCACAUGUUAGAACCGUAGAGACCAAUAUGGACAUCCCCAGGCUGGUUUAAGGGUUCUGCCACGGUAAUGAGCUUUGUGGUCGCCUCCAUGUUAGGAGCACGGAGACCAAUAGGUGAUACAGCACAGCCGAUCCAAGCAUCCUGCCGUGUUCACCGCCUCUGCGGUUGCCUCCAUGUGAGAGGCCAAUGGAGGCCAAUAAUUGGUGAACCCAAGAUGAUGCACACAUCCUCAUGGUCGUGAGCUCUGUGGGUGCCACUGUGUUCUGAGAAUGGACACCCAAUUAUCUGCUGUGUACUUCCCAGAGUUGAUGCACUUGGCUGAUUAAUUCUUCUCUGAGCAUGGUGGUAUUUGCUGUUUCCUUGGUGGAUGGAUUUCAUGACCAGGUGUUCCUGAUGAACUCUGUUUUGUGAGUAUAGACCAAUGUCGUUGGAUGUUCUGUAGUGAUGAAGAUUUGGAGUCUACCUUGGUCGGUGAGGAGCAUGCAGUUCAAAGUGUUCUAUGAACAGUCGGAAAUUGAUGAAGCUGCAGGUUAUCCACGUGGUGAGGAAGGAGUGCCUGGGAGAGAACGGACACACCUGAACUGAUUGAAACUUCGGUCAUACUGGAACCCUGUGUUUUAGGAGCACGGAGGUGAUGUCAGAAGCCCACGAGCUGAUUGAAAGUUUCUUCCAUGCUCCUGAGCUCCGUGGUUGCCGCCAUGUGUUAGGAACAUAGAGAACAUGAAAGGAAAUACCGAGUUGAGAUAAGCUUUCUGCCAUCGUCACUGGCGCCCUGUGGCCUUGAUGUGUUAGGAGCAUGGAGGACAACAAUGGAGUUAUCUGCCUUGUUCACAAGCUCUAAGAUUGCCUCUGUCUGUUAGGAGCAGAGACCAAUUGGUCCUACCCCUGGUGAUUUAUGCCAUCUGCCGCCAGUAAGGAGCUUGCUGGUUGCCUCCAUGGGAUGAGUGGUGGACACCAAAGAAGGACACACUGGAGCUGGCCUGGAUGUCCUCCCUGGUACUGCCUGUCUGUGCGUUAGCAUCAGAGACCAAAAAUGGACUCUUGAGAGCUGAAUGAAGCAGUUAGCCCUUGUCAGUCAGAUCUGUGGUUGCUGCGGAGUUAGGAGGAUGGAGACAAAUAAAGAAAACACCAAGCUAACAGUUGUGCCGUCAUCACGAGCUCUAUGAUGGCCUCGUGUAUCAGGAGCAAGGGACCCACAAUGGAAUCCCUUGAGCCGAUUUAAGCGAUUUGUGUUCUGUAGUUGCCUCGUGAGUUCAAAGCAAAGAUAAUAAUACAGGAAGCACCAAAUGGAGAAGCUUCCUUUCAUGGUCACGAGCUCUGUGGUGGCCUUGAUGUAUCAGGAGCGUGGCGACCAGUAGUGGGCUUCUCUCAUUGAUGAAGCUUCCUGCCUCGCUCACAGUUCUACAGUUUUCUCUGAAUCAGGAGCAGAGAUCCUUACGCCCAUCAAAGCCGACAGGACCACUGGGCAUGGCGCUGGGCUCAGCGAUUGCCUCUCUGAUGGUAACUUGGAGGUGAAUGUUAUUGAAGACUUCAGACACUGCGGUGAGGUCCGUAAUUGCAUCCAUGAUUUAGGAAGAUAGGGACCACGAAAGGAAACACGAAGCUGAGCUCAGCUUUCUGCCAUGGCCCUGAUGUGUUAGGAGCAUGGAGACCAAUAUUGGACGUACACAUUUGCCUUGAGCAUUUUGCUAUGUUCACAAGUGCUAUGGCUGCCUCUCUGGAAGCACGGAUGCCCACGUGAGUACUGUUUGAAGUUCUUGCCUCGUUUUGUGUGGAUAUUUUAAGGAUGCUCACUGUAUAAUUAAAAAUAUGGAAUAGAAUUAAAAAUGGAGGACCACGGUCCAGUGAUAAAGUGGGAUUGCUAUACACACCAUGGUGGUGACUAUUCCAAAUAUGAAAUGCUGAGGAUGUUCGAUGGAGCAGAUCUAUCAUUGUGAUGUAUUAUU